rnacentral:rRNA from 1 species
UAGGGAAUAUUGGGCAAUGGAGGGAACUCUGACCCAGCCAUGCCGCGUGCAGGAUGAAGGCGUUAUGCGUUGUAAACUGCUUUUUAUAUAGGAAGAAAUAGUCCUUGCGAGGAAAGUUGACGGUACUAUAUGAAUAAGCACCGGCUAACUCCGUGCCAGCAGCCGCGGUAAUACGGAGGGUGCAAGCGUUGUCCGGAUUUAUUGGGUUUAAAGGGUGCGUAGGCGGUUUAUUAAGUCAGUGGUGAAAGACGGUCGCUCAACGAUUGCAGUGCCAUUGAUACUGGUAGACUUGAGUAUGAUUGAGGUAGCUGGAAUGGAUAGUGUAGCGGUGAAAUGCAUAGAUAUUAUCCAGAACACCAAUUGCGUAGGCAAGUUACUAAGUCAUAACUGACGCUGAGGCACGAAAGUGUGGGUAUCAAACAGGAUUAGAUACCCCGGAGCGGGCUGGCAAGGCGCAU